ensembl:snRNA U6 U6 spliceosomal RNA
UUGCUCCAGCAGUAGAUUGACUAAAGUUGGAAGGAUACAGAGAAGAUUGGCCCAGCCCCAGUGCAAGGGGACACACGAAUACAUGAAGAAUCCCACACUUUA